AACAUUUCUUUUAGAUUAUUUAAAAAGUAAGGCCUGCCCACUGUUUAAAUGAAGGGCCGCGGUAUUUUGACCGUGCAAAGGUAGCAUAAUCAUUAGUCUUUUAAUUGGAGAAUGGAAUGAAUGGCUUAAUGAUUUUUUUCUAUUAUCUUUAUUAAAAAAAUAAUUUUGAUUUUAAAUGAGAAUAUUUAAUUAAUUUAGUUAGACGAUAAGACCCUAUAGAAUUUUAUUUUUUAAAUAUUAAAUAGUACUUAAAAAGUUUAAAUGGGGCAUUUUUUGAUUAAUUAAAAUUUCUAAUUAAUUAUUUUAAAAUAUCUUUAUUUAAAUAUUUUAAAAAAAUUACCUUAGGGAUAACAGCGUAAUAAUUUUUAAGAGUUCAUAUCGACAAAAUAGUUUGCGACCUCGAUGUUGAAUUAAAAUACUUUUAUGGAGCAGCUUUUAUAUUAAGUAGUCUGUUCGACUAUUAAAAUUUUACAUGAUUUGAGG
rnacentral:rRNA from 1 species